ensembl:lncRNA
UUUAUGUUUGAGCUGUUUUAAUUGAAAGCAACUUGUUCUGAAGUAUCUUAAAAUAUCUCAGAGCUAUUGUUUUGUCUGUACUGAAAUGUCCUAAUUAAACUAAGUCCUAAUUCUGGCUUAAUCAAAGCCCUGUCUGUGAAACCAGGCCUGAAUGUAUAAAAGGGAUGUUGAUGUUGGUUUAUUUACACAGGUCUCAGAUCUGGAUGGAUCUUCUAAAUGACUUGAAAGAGAGUCAACUCUUUAAUGGCAGUCAUGAGCAAAUAUGCUUGGUGCGGUUUCUGUUUUUAAGUGUUCUGCAGAUGGACCUUGUCUCGCUGUCGUUCUGGUAAACCAGAUGCAAUGUACGCUCUUCCACUCAGGUUUAAUGGGAGAGAAUGUGGAUUUCGUGUCUCGUCUGCUGUUGAUGGGAGAUUUAGAAGUGCACUCAAAACUCAGUUGGGCCGAGGCAGAACUGUUGAAGGAAGCAGUGAAUCCAGUCCUGUAGCAAACAUCAGGAUGCAGUCUCUCCAGUAUCCCAGGAUCAUUGUUUCUUCUUGUCGUCUGGUGUUACCAACUUCACUUCACUGAUUCUUGAAGACAGCCUCCAAUGAUUCAGCUUUAGUUUCUCAACACUGUAGCACAUGUAGGGUCUGAAUACACUUGGAUGUUGUUCCAGGACAUGGAUGAUAUCCAAGGUGGAAAACCAUCCCUAAAUCUAGAAGCCAAACAAGAUCACAAAUAAUGACAAUGAUCACAAAUAACAAUAAUAUGAAACAAUUCAUGUGUAAAUUAGAAAUCAACUUACCUUUGUACGGAGUACUGAUUAUAUACUCUGUAUAAUAUGUAGCACUGUGUGAAAUCCUUCAAUCCUUCUACACUUUGUGGUUAAUCAAAAAAAGGCUGGCACACUUCUCAAUGAGCGUGUUUAAUUCAUCUAAUGAAGCUGCGCUGGAUAUCUGGUGAAUAGAUUACAUAAAAACAUUCAAAGGGAACACAUUUAAUUCUAAUAAUCUUUUCAAAAAGCCAGUACAAAAAAGAUUUAAAACUGUUAAUCCUUGAUCCAUAAUAUUUACGGGAAAAAAAUUAUUAAAAUAAGCUAAAAUGGUCCAUUAGUUAGUGUUAAUUAAUUAAUUAAUUAACAUGAACAAACAAUGAAUAAUACAACUCCUAUUGCUCCUCAACCACAAACCAACAAAUUGAAAGCUGGUGGUCAUACUUCAGAAAACAAAGCUAUAGUCUACAUUCAUGAUAAUGUGGGGUUUUAAUAUUACUUUUCUUGAUGGAUUUUACAGUUAUCUGGUUUCUCAGACAAAGCUUAAACCUAAUCCUAGAUUCAAAUUCAACUUGUUCUGAAGUAUCUUAAAAUAUCUCAGUGCUAUUGUUUUGUCUGUACUUAAAUGUCCUAAUUAAACUAAGUCCUAAUUCUGGUUUAAUCAAAGCCCUGUCUGUAAACCUGGGGCCCGUUCUUCGGAGCUUACGGACCUGUUGCUAUGACAGCAGCUCCGGGAUGAGCUUCGAAGAACCAAACGAUCCAAGAUCAUUGUUUUCCCUGUUUGAAGAAAGGACAUGAUGAGCACAGGAUGUCUGAUAGUUUUUUUGGAGACAAUGAUGAUAAAGUAAAGUACUACACAGGGCUGCCAAACAUGGGGACCUUUAUGGCCUUGCUAAGUUUUUUGGUGCCUCUCAUGUCAGACCCAAAAGAGGA